rnacentral:rRNA from 1 species
GAUGAACGCUGGCGGCGUGCUUACACAUGCAAGUCGAGCGAAGCAGUUAAGUUGAUUUCUUCGGAUUGAUUCUUAACUGACUGAGCGGCGGACGGGUGAGUAACGCGUGGGUGACCUGCCCCAUACCGGGGGAUAACAGCUGGAAACGGCUGCUAAUACCGCAUAAGCGCACAGAGCUGCAUGGCUCGGUGUGAAAAACUCCGGUGGUAUGGGAUGGGCCCGCGUCUGAUUAGGCAGUUGGCGGGGUAACGGCCCACCAAACCGACGAUCAGUAGCCGGCCUGAGAGGGCGACCGGCCACAUUGGGACUGAGACACGGCCCAAACUCCUACGGGAGGCAGCAGUGGGGAAUAUUGCACAAUGGGGGAAACCCUGAUGCAGCGACGCCGCGUGAGCGAAGAAGUAUUUCGGUAUGUAAAGCUCUAUCAGCAGGGAAGAUAAUGACGGUACCUGACUAAGAAGCCCCGGCUAACUACGUGCCAGCAGCCGCGGUAAUACGUAGGGGGCAAGCGUUAUCCGGAUUUACUGGGUGUAAAGGGAGCGUAGACGGCAAGGCAAGUCUGAUGUGAAAACCCAGGGCUUAACCCUGGGACUGCAUUGGAAACUGUCUGGCUCGAGUGCCGGAGAGGUAAGCGGAAUUCCUAGUGUAGCGGUGAAAUGCGUAGAUAUUAGGAAGAACACCAGUGGCGAAGGCGGCUUACUGGACGGUAACUGACGUUGAGGCUCG